GACGAACGCUGGCGGCGUGCUUAACACAUGCAAGUCGAACGGCAAGACCCUGCUUGUGUGGUGUUCUCGAGGGGCGAACGGGGGAGUAACACGUGAGUAACCUGCCCUAGACUUUGGGAUAACUUCAGGAAACUGAGGCUAAUACCGGAUAGGAGAUCCUGCUGCAUGGUGGGGGGUGGAUCGUUUCGGCGGUAGGGGAUGGACGCGCGGCUGAUCAGCUUGUUGGUGGGGGAGUGGCUGACCAAGGCUUUGACGGGUAGGCGGCAGGGGUGCGUGACCGGCGACAUGGGGACUGAGAGACGCACCAGACUGCUAUGGGAGGCAGUAGUCGGGAAUAUUGCACAGCGGGCGGGAGCCUGAUGCAGAGACGUCGCGGGUGUGAAGACGGCUUUUUGGGUGUAAACAGCUGCAGCUUGUGACGAAGCGUGAGUGACGGUAAUCGGUAAAGAAGCACCGGCUAACUACGUG
rnacentral:rRNA from 1 species